rnacentral:rRNA from 1 species
UGGGGAAUUUUGGACAAUGGGCGAAAGCCUGAUCCAGCAAUGCCGCGUGUGUGAAGAAGGCCUUCGGGUUGUAAAGCACUUUUGUCCGGAAAGAAAUCCUUGGCUCUAAUACAGUCGGGGGAUGACGGUACCGGAAGAAUAAGCACCGGCUAACUACGUGCCAGCAGCCGCGGUAAUACGUAGGGUGCAAGCGUUAAUCGGAAUUACUGGGCGUAAAGCGUGCGCAGGCGGUUUGCUAAGACCGAUGUGAAAUCCCCGGGCUCAACCUGGGAACUGCAUUGGUGACUGGCAGGCUAGAGUAUGGCAGAGGGGGGUAGAAUUCCACGUGUAGCAGUGAAAUGCGUAGAGAUGUGGAGGAAUACCGAUGGCGAAGGCAGCCCCCUGGGCAAUACUGACGCUCAUGCACGAAAGCGUGGGGAGCAAAACAGGAUUAGAUACCCUGGUAGUCCACGCCCUAAACGAUGUCAACUAGUUGUUGGGGAUUCAUCUCCUAGUAACGUAGCUAACGCGUGAAGUUGACCGCCUGGGGAGUACGGUCGCAAGAUUAAAACUCAAAUGAAUUGACGGGGUCAUAGCUGUUUCCU